ensembl:piRNA 21ur-8817 ncRNA
UUUAUGUGUUGAGAAAUAACA